AGGGGAGUAGCUCAAUUGGCAGAGUAGCGGACUCCAAAUCCGUUGGUUGCAGGUUCGAGUCCUGUCUCCCCUGCCA
rnacentral:tRNA from 2 species